rnacentral:rRNA from 1 species
AUUGAACGCUGGCGGCAGGCCUAACACAUGCAAGUCGAGCGGAUGAAGGGAGCUUGCUCCUGGAUUCAGCGGCGGACGGGUGAGUAAUGCCUAGGAAUCUGCCUGGUAGUGGGGGAUAACGUCCGGAAACGGGCGCUAAUACCGCAUACGUCCUGAGGGAGAAAGUGGGGGAUCUUCGGACCUCACGCUAUCAGAUGAGCCUAGGUCGGAUUAGCUAGUUGGUGGGGUAAAGGCCUACCAAGGCGACGAUCCGUAACUGGUCUGAGAGGAUGAUCAGUCACACUGGAACUGAGACACGGUCCUAACUCCUACGGGAGGCAGCAGUGGGGAAUAUUGGACAAUGGGCGAAAGCCUGAUCCAGCCAUGCCGCGUGUGUGAAGAAGGUCUUCGGAUUGUAAAGCACUUUAAGUUGGGAGGAAGGGCAGUAAGUUAAUACCUUGCUGUUUUGACGUUACCAACAGAAUAAGCACCGGCUAACUUCGUG